rnacentral:rRNA from 1 species
GUAGGUGGCAAGCGUUGUCCGGAAUUAUUGGGCGUAAAGCGCGCGCAGGCGGUUCUUUAAGUCCGAUGUGAAAGCCCACGGGCUCAACCGUGGAGGGUCAUUGGAAACUGGAGAACUUGAGUACAGAAGAGGAAAGCGGAAUUUCACGUGUAGCGGUGAAAUGCGUAGAGAUGUGGAGGAACACCAGUGGCGAAGGCGGCUUUCUGGUCUGUAACUGACGCUGAGGCGCGAAAGCGUGGGGAGCAAACAGGAUUAGAUACCCUGGUAGUCCACGCCGUAAACGAUGAGUGCUAAGUGUUAGGGGGUUUCCGCCCCUUAGUGCUGCAGCUAACGCAUUAAGCACUCCGCCUGGGGAGUACGGCCGCAAAGGCUG